rnacentral:lncRNA from 1 species
GAACCCGAAUGAAAUGGAUAUAUCCGAUGGAUAUGGAUAUGGAUUCGGAUAUGGAUAUAAAAAAUAAAAACCCGACGGAUAUUGAUUCGGAUAUGGAUUUUGAUUGUACUCGACCCGAACCUGAACCCGAACCUCGACCUCUCGACUGACCCGGCUGGCCCCUCGGAUACUUUGGCGGUCUGCUGAAGGGUUGCUGACCACUGCUCUCAGCUGCUCGCCUUUUUCCUUUGCUUCGAUCCACAACAUCUCUUUCUUUCAUAAUUUCUGCUCCCUUCUCAACAAUCAGUGCCCGGUUUACCACCUCCCUAUAA